rnacentral:rRNA from 1 species
GACAGAGGGUGCAAACGUUGUUCGGAAUUACUGGGCGUAAAGCACGUGUAGGCUGCUUCGAAAGUCGGAUGUGAAAGCCCUGGGCUCAACCUAGGAAGUGCAUUCGAAACUUCGAGCUGGAGUCCUGGAGAGGAAGGCGGAAUUCUCGGUGUAGAGGUGAAAUUCGUAGAUAUUGAGAGGAACACCGGUGGCGAAGGCGGCCUUCUGGACAGUGACUGACGGCUGAGACGC